GAUGAACGCUGGCGGCGUGCUUAACACAUGCAAGUCGAACGGGAAUUACUUUAUUGAAACUUCGGUCGAUUUAAUUUAAUUCUAGUGGCGGACGGGUGAGUAACGCGUGGGUAACCUGCCUUAUACAGGGGGAUAACAGUCAGAAAUGACUGCUAAUACCGCAUAAGCGCACAGAGCUGCAUGGCUCGGUGUGAAAAACUCCGGUGGUAUAAGAUGGACCCGCGUUGGAUUAGCUGGUUGGUGAGGUAACGGCCCACCAAGGCGACGAUCCAUAGCCGGCCUGAGAGGGUGAACGGCCACAUUGGGACUGAGACACGGCCCAGACUCCUACGGGAGGCAGCAGUGGGGAAUAUUGCACAAUGGGGGAAACCCUGAUGCAGCGACGCCGCGUGAAGGAAGAAGUAUCUCGGUAUGUAAACUUCUAUCAGCAGGGAAGAA
rnacentral:rRNA from 1 species